GUGCUCACUUCAGCAGCAUGCAUACUAGAAUUGGAAUGAUACAGAGAAGAUUAGCAUGGUCCCUAGGCAAAUUCGUGAAGUGUUCCAUAUUUUU
rnacentral:snRNA from 1 species